ensembl:lncRNA
UGAGCUAAUGACGUCUUUCUGCUGUUUCUAAGGGCUGGUGUGUGUUUGCAAGUGUCCGUGUGUGUACGUUUGUGUCGCUUGCUGGUUACCACGCAUGAGUGAGUGAGUUCACGGGAGAGAGAGGUAGCCGUAGCCUACCUCGGGAUAGAUUAUGCAAAAAGAGUAAAAACAUGUAUGAAUGACAAAAAGUCAGCCCUUUGCUCGUCAAACCCGCCUUCAACAAUUUGCCAAUUUGCAUAAACCCCUCUAAUAUCUGACCUAAAAGAGCUGUGGCGGCUCCGCUUGAGCGGUAAUGCUGUGCAUCCACACCGCUGACUCUCCGUGUCUGACGGAACUGAGAGAGGUCCGCUCGCGGCGGUCAACGCGCCUGUCCUUUUUUCACAGCACAGAGCAUGGAGAAAAGACUGGAAAACAAGAGAAAAAAAAAAAGAACAUGGGAAACCAAAUUAGGGAAGGCUGCAAACCAGGCUUAAAUCCGCAUGAAUUCCACAGCUCUCACCUGAACAGAUAAUUAUUUUUAUGAUUGGCAGUAAGAUGAAAUGAUGUUUGGAACAGACCAGUACAGUACCUCCAGUGAUGUAAUAAUGACCUUCACCCUCAGCCUGUUCCUUCCCCAUCAGCCAUCAGCAUCUUCCCUACAGACAAAAAUUAAAGGUCUAGACCGGAAUGACAAAGACUGAGAAGGACCCUACAGCCAGAGCAGAAAGAACGGUAAUAGAAUAGGUAAUCAAAAACAUGGCCUAUCUAUCCCAUCCCAUUCUCUCCAAUACAAUCACUUUUUUCUGCAACUAAUCAUAAAGAAGCAGAUAAGUCUGAUGGUGGAAAAGCAAAAGUUCUAUUCAGGCAGGAUUAAAAUAAGUUGAACAAACACUCAGAAAAUAGUAUCUCCCUUCAGGGCAAGCCUGCAAUCAUUUCAAAGUAUCAUUUUGCAAGUUUGAGCUAGUAACUAAAGUAGGCAAAAGGACAGAUUAUGAAAAAUAAUAAAAAAAAAGAUUAAAAAGCUAAAUGAAAGUAACAUUAAAGUAAAUUACAAGUAUUUUGAAAUAAUUAAAUAGGUUUAUUUUAAAAGCAGAGCAAAAUUUAGGUUUCCCCCUGCAACACAGCUCUAAAUAUUUUUUAAAAAUUAUGAGAUUUGAAUAUUUGUGCAUAUUCUAUCGCCUACACCUUUUUCUUUUACAUAAGAUAUGAUGAAAACUGAAUAUAAAAUGUGUAUAUCUACUAAUUUUUAAUCAAUGCAUAUUAAGAAGUGUAGAAAUGAGUAUAAAAAGGGGACACAGGAAUGGAAUGUAUAUAGAAUGUAAUGUGAAUUGUAUUCAUUUGGAAGACUAAAUAAAAACCAAUAUAUAAUUUUAAAAAGCAGCAUCAGCAUUCUUCUAUAAAUCUUUUAUGUUCCAUUGAAGAAAGAUGAUCAUACAGAUUUGGAACAUCUCAUGAGGGUGAAUAAAUAAUGACAGAAUUGUAAUUUAUGUUUGAACUGUCCCUUUAAUACAAAAAACAGUCUUACACAAUCAUAAUCUCUGAGCUGUAAUUCUGCUUUUGCAUUCACUUUUCUCUCAAAACGCUAUUCUGAUAUCUACCACAUCCACAACGGAUAAGGAAAGGCAGUGAAUGUUUGGCAAAAAUAAAUAGCCUCAGACCUCCUGUGAGGAAGAGAGAGCCAUUUAAGCCAAACGUUCGUUUCCGAGAGCAAAAAAAGCAACAGGAAUUGAGACUCUUUCAGACGCUGUGUAUGAGUGGAGCUUUUGUGCCGAACCUGCGUGCGAUUAUUGGCUGUGGGUGGAAAUAUGAUUAAGUGCACUCGGAGCUCAGAAGCAAUAAGCGCCCACAUUUGUGUUGCUUCAGGAAUAUGGUCUCACAGCCGCUCUGAAGGCUAUGUGAUUUACUGUGUGAAAGGUCAAGUUCAAACUGAAGAGAAGGAAUAUAUUAUACAAGUAAUGUAACCUUAUUAAGUGUGAGUAAUGAGCGUACACACACCUACAGACAUUCAUUCUUUUAAAGGGACACAGCUAUACAGAUUGCAGGACCAUUACGAGUCAAAUACACAAUUCAGGAAGACAUAAAUUCUCUAAUAAUCUACAUCGGGC